CCCUUGGUGGUCUAGUUGGUUAUGGCGUUCGGCUGUAAUUGAAUAUUUAAUUGUUACCGAAAUGUCGCUGGUUCGAUUCCGGCCCGAGGGA
rnacentral:tRNA from 3 species